CUACGGGAGGCUCCAGUGAGGAAUUUUGCGCAAUGGGGGAAACCCUGACGCAGCAACGCCGCGUGAGUGAUGAAGGCCUUCGGGUCGUAAAGCUCUGUCAAGUGGGAAGAACCUAUCGAUAUUGAAAAUAUAUUGAUACUGACGGUACCACAAGAGGAAGCACCGGCUAACUCCGUGCCAGCAGCCGCGGUAAUACGGGGGGUGCAAGCGUUAUUCGGAAUCAUUGGGCGUAAAGGGCGCGCAGGCGGCCUUGUAAGUCAGAUGUGAAAGCCCGGGGCUCAACCCCGGAAGUGCAUUUGAAACUAUGAGGCUUGAGUAUGGGAGAGGGAAGUGGAAUUCCUGGUGUAGUGGUGAAAUGCGUAGAUAUCAGGAGGAACACCGGUGGCGAAGGCGACUUCCUGGACCAAUACUGACGCUGAGGCGCGAAGGCGUGGGGAGCAAACAGGAUUAGAUACCCCCGUAGUC
rnacentral:rRNA from 1 species